GGCCACUGUAGCUCAGAUGGUUAAAGCGCUGCACCGGUGCAUGUAUACGUAGCAGCUGAGCCGUUGGUUCGAUUCCUGCCAGACGGCCU